rnacentral:rRNA from 1 species
AUUGAACGCUGGCGGCAGGCCUAACACAUGCAAGUCGAGCGGAUGAAGGGAGCUUGCUCCUGGAUUCAGCGGCGGACGGGUGAGUAAUGCCUAGGAAUCUGCCUGGUAGUGGGGGAUAACGUCCGGAAACGGGCGCUAAUACCGCAUACGUCCUGAGGGAGAAAGUGGGGGAUCUUCGGACCUCACGCUAUCAGAUGAGCCUAGGUCGGAUUAGCUAGUUGGUGGGGUAAAGGCCUACCAAGGCGACGAUGCGUAACUGGUCUGAGAGGGUGCACAGUCACUGUAAAACUGAGACGCGCCCGAGACUUAUAGGAGGGGCCGGAGUGGAAAAUAGGGCAAGAGGGGCGAACCUCAUCCAGCGCCGCGCCGCGUGUGAAGAAGGUCUUCGGAUUGUAAAGCACUUUAAGUUGGGAGGAAGGGCAGUAAGUUAAUACCUUGCUGUUUUGACGUUACCAACAGAAUAAGCACCGGCUAACUUCGUG